rnacentral:rRNA from 1 species
AUGAAAAUCGGACUUAGUGAUCCGGUGGUUCUGCGUGGAAGGGCCAUCGCUCAACGGAUAAAAGCUACCCUGGGGAUAACAGGCUUAUCUCCCCCAAGAGUCCACAUCGACGGGGAGGUUUGGCACCGCGAUGUCGGCUCAUCACAUCCUGGGGCUGUAGUAGGUCCCAAGGGUUGGGCUGUUCGCCCAUUAAAGUGGUACGCGAGCUGGGUUCAGAACGUCGUGAGACAGUUCGGUCCCUAUCCGUCGCAGGCG